rnacentral:rRNA from 1 species
AGUGAACGCUGGCGGUAGGCCUAACACAUGCAAGUCGAACGGCAGCACAGUAAGAGCUUGCUCUUACGGGUGGCGAGUGGCGGACGGGUGAGGAAUACAUCGGAAUCUACUUUUUCGUGGGGGAUAACGUAGGGAAACUUACGCUAAUACCGCAUACGACCUACGGGUGAAAGCAGGGGAUCUUCGGACCUUGCGCGAUUGAAUGAGCCGAUGUCGGAUUAGCUAGUUGGCGGGGUAAAGGCCCACCAAGGCGACGAUGCGUAGCUGGUCUGAGAGGAUGAUCAGCCACACUGGACCUGAGACACGGUCCAGACUCCUACGGGAGGCAGCAUUGGGGAAUAUUGGACAAUGGGCGCAAGCCUGAUCCAGUCAUACCGCGUGAGUGAAGAAGGCCUUCGGGUUGUAAAGCCCUUUUGUUGGGAAAGAAAAGCAGCAGGUUAAUACCCCGCUGUUCUGACGGUACCCAAAGAAUAAGCACCGGCUAACUUCGUG